CGGUACGGCUCUGUCAUGCCUUGCUAGUCUCCGGCUCUUGAGUAUGGCUCAAGUAUUCCUCACCAUGCCGCAUUCUCAGCCUGGCCUGGCGUACAGCAGGCAUCUCAAGCUACUGGUCUCAAUCUUCAGCCCUCUCCUUUCUUCUCUGGCCAUGGUGCUCUGACUCCUCAGCCCCUCCACAGGCUCCCUGCUAAUUUUUCACUCUUUCCAGGGGCAGCCUGCAGGGAGCUUCUCUAUGGCUUUCCCCAAAGACCUCUUCCUGUCUCCUCACUCCCAGGUCUUUCUGUCACCAGGUCUCCUCCCCUCAGAUUCUCCCUCGUUCUUUAUAGCACUCAGGUGCUGUCCCCUCCUUAAUUGGCAAAACUGGGAGCGGCUGUUCUGGCACCUGGACCUACUUCAAUCUCAGGGGGCAGCAUGCCAGUGCUGGAUCUGUAUCGGAGCUAGUGCAAGGGCAGGGUUCUGGGGGCAGGAAGCCAGGAGAGUCAGUGCAGCUGGGGCUAAGUGCUGGUGGUUGUCAGAUGCCUUAGCCUGGUGGCACAGACGGGAAGUAUUCGGUGCAGCCCAGGGGGUGCAGGGAUAUCCCAGUAUUGCAGAUUCUUAGGUGCUGUAGUUGAGGGGAGCUGGUGUCUGGGUGCUGGAGAUUCCUGGAUGCUGUUAUUGCUCUACUUUGGUCUCAUUAGCUUUUCCUUGAUGUUGUGUUGUAGCAGAAACCGUGUUUAACAACUGUGAGUUGUACUAUUCGUUCUGCCCUUGUGCUAGCUGCAAAACCCUAAAUCUUAGAGUCCUCAUGGUGGAGUGGAGACUCCAUGAUGCCCAUCUGUUGCUGGUGACAUAACCUGUAGAUUGGGGUGGGUCUAACACAUCUGCCUCAAGGAUCUAAAAUGAAGCUCUGGCCCUGAUCCAUUCCUGGUGUAAGAGAUGGAAGCCCUCCUGAAGCCCACGGAGAUACAGUGGAGACGGCUUGGAGUCUGGGAUCCGUGAGAGAAGAGCUGUGAGUUUUCAGAGCUCUAUGGCUGUGACUUAGUGAAGGCACUGAGAACAGGGAGGGAGAGAGGAGGGGGUUUGAAAGGGUUGAUCUUCCCCACAGUGCUGCUGCUCCUUUUGCUCACGUCCUGCUUGCGGGGGUCUUGGAUCAAUGUCUCGCUCCGCGUUUGUUAAUGGACCUGGAUCCAUACUGCGUGAAUGGAGUUCAGCACUCAGCAGAGCAUCAGGCUUGCCUUGUUCCUCAGCAUCGACUCAGCCUGGGGGGAAAUCAGUGGGGAUGCAAUUAUCAGAGCCAUCCCCGUUGCCCUGGCGGGUCUGCCUGGCAGCUCUGCCCCCUCGCCCAGCCCUCCCCUUUGCAUCUUGAUUCCUCUGUGCUGUUGCUGCUCUUGGCACCACUGUAAAUCUAUCCCAGUGCUGGAGGUGCGUAUGAGAGCUAGUGCUCAACACGGGCAGUGGGCAGCACCUUGCUUUGGGAGGACGCUUUGCCUGCCCCCUCCCACAAAGGUCAUAGCAUCUAGAAGCUGGAGCAGACACGUCCUCUGAAUAUAGACAGUUGGCUGGGGAUUAACCCCUUGGGUUGGGGGUUAGGGUUUUCCUAAGUGGCAUCACCAUGCCCAAUGCCCCAGCUAUUGGUGGCAGGUCCUAUGGUGUAUGGGACCACCUGGAUCUCACUGCAGCUGGCUGUGCUUAGUUGGUUCCUUGUGACAUAGCAAUGGCUGAUGGUGCCCCUGGAUUUACUUGAACAUCACCAGCUGCUGCUGCUUGGCAUGCAGUGGCAUUCCCUGGGCAUCAGUUGGGGCAUCAAAGAGCAGAUCCUCAGUGGUGCCAGCUCUGAGGGAAGAGUUUACUUAUGAAGCAUCCGCCAUUUCCAAAGGCUGUGUGUUUGUAUCUGUGUGUACCUGUCUUUUCCUGUAUGCAUGCGUGUGUGCAUGUGUGAGUGUACACAUGUAUAUCUGAGUGCCUGUAUGCAGGUGUAUGUGCAUGUAUGGGUGUACAUGUGUAUAUCUGGGUCCCUGUAUGCAGGCAUUGUGUGCAUGUCUGGGUGUACACAUGCAUGUCUGGAUGCCUGGAUGCAGGCGUAUGUGCAUGUCUGUGUGUAUAGGUGCGUGUGUGUGUGUGCUUGGAUGCAGGGAUGUGUACCUGUUUCUCUGGGUCUGUGGGGGCAUGUACGUGUGCAGAGGAAGGAGCAGCAGGAGUGUCAAUAGAAAAUGCACUGUCCUUCCCCCCAGAUUUUGCUGACAUAUGGAAAUAUUAUCCCCUCUCUGCAGCACUGUUAUAUUGUUUUUUAAAGAAAAAAGUAAUUUUGCUCCAUUUCACAGUAUCUGCUGCUUAUUUGUGAACCCUGCUGUGAGCGGGGAAGAGCUGUCAGUGUUGGGGCUUUCCAUUUGCCAUUUAAAAACAAAUCCCAUGUUG